GACGAACGCUGGCGGCGUGCUUAACACAUGCAAGUCGAACGGAAAGGCCCUGCUUUUGUGGGGUGCUCGAGUGGCGAACGGGUGAGUAACACGUGAGUAACCUGCCCUUGACUUUGGGAUAACUUCAGGAAACUGGGGCUAAUACCGGAUAGGAGCUCCUGCUGCAUGGUGGGGGUUGGAAAGUUUCGGCGGUCGGGGAUGGACUCGCGGCUUAUCAGCUUGUUGGUGGGGUAGUGGCUUACCAAGGGUUUGACGGGUAGGCGGCCUGGGAGGGUGACCGGGCUCAAUGGGACUACGGGAGGGCCCAGUGUCCUACGGGGGGCAGCAGUGGGGAAUAUUGCACAAUGGGCGGAAGCCUGAUGCAGCAACGCCGCGUGCGGGAUGACGGCCUUCGGGUUGUAAACCGCUUUCGCCUGUGACGAAGCGUGAGUGACGGUAAUGGGUAAAGAAGCACCGGCUAACUACGUG
rnacentral:rRNA from 1 species